UACAGAGGGGGCAAGCGUUGUUCGGAAUUACUGGGCGUAAAGGGCGCGUAGGCGGCCUGCUAAGUCGAACGUGAAAUCCCUGGGCUCAACCCAGGAACUGCGUCCGAUACUGGUUGGCUUGAAUCCGGGAGAGGGAUGUGGAAUUCCAGGUGUAGCGGUGAAAUGCGCAGAUAUCAGGAGGAACACCGGUGGCGAAGGCGGCCUGCUGGGCAGUUACUGACACUGAGGCGCGGACAGCGUGGGGGGCAAACAGG
rnacentral:rRNA from 1 species